UCUUAUGGGUGAGCAAAGAAAGUGGUUUCUUGAGGUUGAAUCUACUCCUGGUGAAGAUAUUAUGAA
rnacentral:pre_miRNA from 1 species